UGAUUACCUUCAAGACAGUCCAGGCCCAAAGUGGCCCAAAGACCUGCAAGCAGGGGCUGUGUGAAAGAUGAAGAGGGUAUACAUCAGGCUGCACACAAAAUCCAAAAGAAAUAAUGAAACCGGAGCCUUGUUUAUCUCUUUAAUGUUGAACAACCAGCAUUGAGAGGCAGUUGUUGUCAUCAACUAAGCAAGUUCCUCAUUUGACGUGUGAAAGCCAUUCCUGUGGUAGAAUUUAACCAUUACUGUGUGUAUGUCUCCAGAUUUCCAUAAGAGAAAUGUACCUUCUUCAGGUCAGUACUGUAUUCAAUACUUGUAAUACUUGUGUGUAAAGUUCUCAACUAACACAUCUCCUUCUGUAUUAGCCUCCAAAGCAUGGUAGAUUUCUUUUUUCAGAUUGAAUAUUUUUCUGAUUUAUCAGCCACAUGGUGGAAGGGGACAUUUACACCCUGAUGCCUCUACAAUCAAUCAUUAAACAAUCUGUUUUCCUCCCACUCGAAGUUGGAGCCCUCAGUAAAAGCUAACCACUCUUUCCAGCCUCACAUGCUCUUCAGAUAGAAUGGACAGUUUUGUCUCUCCUUCAUCCACAUCCCCGAGGGAAAUGUCUGUCACAUUGUGACUCAGACUCAUUGUGGAUUAGCCUGUAACUAUGCCUGUUAGAGCCUGAGUUUGAUUUCUAAACCAAAAAAAGGUCAAGUAAAGCAUCUAUGUCUAAAAGUCAGUUUGCCAUCAGAGACCUUCUUCCCAACCAAUUGUCCAAGCUAGAAAGCCUUAAUGAUGCCUUGGAUGUUCACCAGGCUCGGGAUACAAAUGUACAAUUGUGUGAUGCAAUCCCCAGGGACAACAAUCUUCUUGAUUGCAAUGGAGUUAACCAGUACACAGUCUGCUCAAUCAUUAGAGCCCGUCAGUAGGAGUCUUUAUUUCCUUCAGUGUAAAUAGUUUACUGUAUCCUUAACAUCCUCAUCUGAACACUGUAAUCAAGGUGAUAUAUGUUU